UAGUCCUUCAAAGAUCAUGGUAAUCACUUCAAUCAUUGGUUGGUUGUAUUCCCUCUCAAGAGUCUGCCUGUACUGGUCCAUUUCUCUAUGUCCUUGCUCACUCUCAAUGUAACAACCAAGGUGUCCUCUCUGAUCUAAGUCUUAAAUCUUGUCCUCAAGCUAUCUGCACUCAUUAGUGUUGUAAUCAAGAUUUUGAUAGAACCUACAAUACUUGUUAUAGUUCCACUUGCUGGUGCUUGUCAUUAGAUUUUUAGGCCAAUGCACAUACUCUCGAUCUCUAAUCUCCAUAAGUAUCUAGGAUCUUGAGGUAUUGAAAAGAGUAUACUUCUCAAAUCCCUGAGGUAGGAUUCUAACAUAUAUGGAGGUUUGUUAUUUGUGCCUCAGGUUCUCCUACAACCUUCCUUCAUC
rnacentral:lncRNA from 1 species